AGGACGAACGCUGGCGGCGUGCCUAACACAUGCAAGUCGAACGAGGUCCAUCCGGUAGCAAUACUGGUGAAGAUCAAGUGGCGAACGGGUGAGUAGCACGUGAGCAACCUGCCCCGAAGACCGGGACAACACCGGGAAACCGGUGCUAAUACCGGAUAUCCCCACCGAACCGCAUGGCUUGGUGAGGAAAUGGAUUCCGCUUCGGGAGGGGCUCGCGGCCUAUCAGCUAGUUGGUGAGGUAACGGCUCACCAAGGCAUCGACGGGUAGCUGGUCUGAGAGGACGAUCAGCCACACUGGGACUGAGACACGGCCCAGACUCCUACGGGAGGCAGCAGUGGGGAAUCUUGCGCAAUGGGCGAAAGCCUGACGCAGCAACGCCGCGUGGAGGACGAAGGCUUUCUGAGUUGUAAACUCCUUUCAGCAGGGACGAUAGUGACGGUACCUUCAGAAGAAGCCCCGGCUAACUACGUGCCAGCAGCCGCGGUAAUACGUAGGGGGCAAGCGUUGUCCGGAAUUAUUGGGCGUAAAGAGCGUGUAGGCGGCUUGGUAAGUCUGGUGUGAAACCUUGGGGCUUAACCCCAAGCCUGCACUGGAUACUGCCUCGCUAGAGUCCGGGAGGGGAGAGCGGAAUUCCCAGUGUAGCGGUGAAAUGCGCAGAUAUUGGGAAGAACACCAGUGGCGAAGGCGGCUCUCUGGAACGGUACUGACGCUGAGACGCGAAAGCGUGGGGAGCGAACAGGAUUAGAUACCCUGGUAGUCCACGCCGUAAACGAUGGGCACUAGAUGUGGGCGGUGUCGACUCCGCCCGUGUCGAAGCUAACGCAUUAAGUGCCCGCCUGGGGAGUACGGCCGCAAGGCUAAA
rnacentral:rRNA from 1 species